GGGGGGGGGGGGGGGGGGGGGGGAGGGGGGGGGGGGGGGGGGGGGGGGGGGGGGGCUUGGGGGGGCGGUGAGGGGGGGCGGGCGGGGGGGUGAGGGCUGGGAGGCGUCGUGGUGGGGGGGGAUGACUACGGGAAGGGGUCGGUGAUACUGGGUGAUGUCGCAAGACCGAGGGGGUGGGCCUUCGGGGCUGUUGCGGUCUGGUGUGCCCAGAUGGGAUUAGGUUGUUGGUGGGGUAACGACUCAACAAGGCGACGAUCCCUAGCUGGUCUGAGGGGAUGACCAGCCACACUGGAACUGAGACACGGUCCAGACUCCUACGGGAGGCAGCAGUGGGGAAUAUUACACAAUGGGCGCAAUCCUGAUGCAGCCAUGCCGCGUGUAUGAAGAAGACCUUCGGGUUGUAAAGUACUUCCAGCGGGGAGGAAGCGAGUAAAGUUAAUACCUUUCCUCAUUGACGUUACCCGCAGAAGAAGCACCGGCUAACUCCGUG
rnacentral:rRNA from 1 species